AUACUUACCUGGCGUAGCGGACACUGUGAUCAUGAAAGCGGUUCCCCCAGAGCGAGGCCUUACCAUAUAUGAUAAGGCAUACUGGAUCAGAACCCGGUCCGGUUCAGAUCAGGAUAGCCUGGAAGAAGUUACGCAAACUGAGC
rnacentral:snRNA from 1 species